rnacentral:snRNA from 1 species
AUUUGGAGGCAGUGGCAGUAUCGUAGCCAAUGAGGUUUAUCCGAGGUGCGAUUAUUGCUAAUUGGA